AAGUCGUAACAAGGUUUCCGUAGGUGAACCUGCGGAAGGAUCAUUACCUAGAGUUGUAGGCUUUGCCUGCUAUCUCUUACCCAUGUCUUUUAAGUACCUUCGUUUCCUCGGCGGGUUCGCCCGCCGAUUGGACAAUUUAAACCAUUUGCAGUUGCAAUCAGCGUCUGAAAAAACUUAAUAGUUACAACUUUCAACAACGGAUCUCUUGGUUCUGGCAUCGAUGAAGAACGCAGCGAAAUGCGAUAAGUAGUGUGAAUUGCAGAAUUCAGUGAAUCAUCGAAUCUUUGAACGCACAUUGCGCCCCUUGGUAUUCCAUGGGGCAUGCCUGUUCGAGCGUCAUUUGUACCUUCAAGCUCUGCUUGGUGUUGGGUGUUUGUCUCGCCUCUGCGUGUAGACUCGCCUCAAAACAAUUGGCAGCCGGCGUAUUGAUUUCGGAGCGCAGUACAUCUCGCGCUUUGCACUCAUAACGACGACGUCCAAAAGUACAUUUUUACACUCUUGACCUCGGAUCAGGUAGGGAUACCGCUGAACUUAA
rnacentral:rRNA from 1 species